rnacentral:ncRNA from 1 species
AACCCCCAUUUAAUGGCGGCCUUACCUAUAAGGGUCCUAAGGUAGCGAAAUACCUUGGCAUUUAAAUGAUGUCGCGCAUGAAUGAUCUCACGAUGCAACAGCUGUCUCAAUGAUUGGCUCAGUGAAACUGGAAUGGCAGUGAAGAUACUGCCUAUCUCUAGAUAGACGAGAAGACCCCAUGCAGCUUUACUGUUACUAGUUAUAGGGUAUAAUUUAACAGGUUUUAGGGAAUAAGGUAGUUGAGCGACAAAAUUGAAACACCUUUACUCUGGUUGUUAUAUCAGUAGAAUAGGUUACAUUUGUGUAACUGACGUCUGAAUGUAAUCCAUAAAAGGAGGGAGAUUAUAUCAAGCUCAGGAGACAAUGGCUAGCAGAUGGUUUAUGCGGGGCACAGAUCCCAUAAAGAGUACCUGGGAGUAUCCAAAUUUAUUUUUGUAAUAUGCUAUACGCAAAUUAUAUAGGGCUUUUAUUAAAUAAUUGCCUUGUAUAUUUUAAUUUUUUAAUUACUAUAUUUAGUUUGUUAUUUUUUAUAUUUACCAUUUUUUUUUGUUAAGAAAAAAAAUGGUAUCUAUAACUAAUUCAGUUAUAUUUCUAUUUAAGUUAGAACUAAAACAAUUUAAUAUAAGUAAGAUUUUACCUAUGUGGAAAAUAGGUGUAUAUAUAGUAUUAAUAAUUACUAUCUAAU